UACGUAGGCAGCGAGCGUUGUUCGGAGUUACUGGGCGUAAAGGGCGUGUAGGCGGUUUGUUAAGUCUGGCGUGAAAGCUCUCGGCUAAACCGGGAGAGGUCGUUGGAUACUGGCAAACUAGAGGACGGUAGAGGCGUGUGGAAUUCCGGGUGUAGUGGUGAAAUGCGUAGAGAUCCGGAGGAACACCAGUGGCGAAGGCGACACGCUGGGCCGUACCUGACGCUAAAGCGCGACAGCAUGGGGAGCAAACGGG
rnacentral:rRNA from 1 species